rnacentral:rRNA from 1 species
AACGAACGCUGGUGGCGUGUUUUAUACAUGCAAGUCGAGCGAGGACAGUAGCUUGCUACUGAGCCGAGCGGCGAACGGGUGAGUAACGCGUAAGCAAUCUGCCCCACAAUCGGGAACAACCGUGCCAACGCGCGGCUAAUGCCGGAUAUUGUGUCCUACUGCAUAGUAGGUUAACGAAAGAUUUAUCGUUGUGGGAUGAGCUUGCGUCCGAUUAGCUAGUUGGCGGGGUAAUAGCCCACCAAGGCGACGAUCGGUAGCCGGCCUGAGAGGGUGAUCGGCCACAUUGGGACUGAGAUACGGCCCAGACUCCUACGGGAGGCAGCAGUAGGGAAUAUUGCGCAAUGGGGGGAACCCUGACGCAGCAACGCCACGUGUGGGAAGAAGCAUUUCGGUGUGUAAACCACUGUCGGAAAGGAAUAACGGAAGACUUCGGUCUUUUAUGAAUGUACUUUUAGAGGAAGCACCGGCAAACUUCGUG